rnacentral:hammerhead_ribozyme from 1 species
GUGCUGCUGAAGAGUCCCAAACUAGGACGAGACAGCUGUCCAGUAC